rnacentral:lncRNA from 1 species
CACCAUUCAUCCGAUAAGAGCUUCAAGCCAUAAUCAUGUUACAUCAUAUGUACAGUAGAUGGCACGCUACUGUACAGCUUCAGAGCCCAUGCUGCACAUCAUGUUACAUCACAUUAAGAAUCCUUUUAAAAAAUUCCCCAAUCAUCCUAUUAUAGUUCUAUGCUUAUAAGGUAGAAAGUAAUCCUAAAUCCCCCCCUCUAAGAAGAGCUGACACCUCAGAUUCUAGAUUGAUGUGAUUCUCCUCGCUGUCACGAAUUCGUAGUUUCUAACCCUGCGUCGUUUGGAGCCGAAACGAUCGAGUUAUGCUCUAAUUACUUCUUUGCAACGAAAUGAAACUUGAUGGGACUGAAAUGCAGCACUAGUCCUCCAAUGCUCUCCAUUUCAUUGACUGAUCCGAAUCUUUCAGAUGCUGACAAAACGGACCCAGUCCUUAACUGUAGACCAUUCGAAUGUUCAGAACUAUGAAAGCUAAACUUAAGAAUAACCAAAUUCCCAGAAAAGUCACUUAGCUUUCUAACUUGCAGAUCGGGCCAUUGAACUCCUCCAGGGUUGCGGAAAGGUCACCCUUCUUCUCCGGCGAAGGUCCUCACCGCUGGCGACCAAACCCAGAUUCCGACGAGGCCCCGACGACUCCCACUUCUCCGGAACUUCACUCAAACGGCUGCCGCCUGGCUCUUCUACCCUUCCGCAUCCGAUCGAUCCCGUGACCGUCCUCCAACAACUACUCCACAGCCACGAACUUCGUCGCCGCCGAAACGCUCUCUCUCUCUCUCUUCCCCCACGCACGCGUUGUCGCCGUAGAUCUCAUCCUCGAUUCGCAAGCCUCCGUGCAUCACCGCAAUCCAUAAGGCC